CCUACGGGUGGCAGCAGUGGGGAAUAUUGCGCAAUGGGCGAAAGCCUGACGCAGCGACGCCGCGUGAGGGAUGAAGGUCUUCGGAUCGUAAACCUCUGUCAGCAGGGAAGAACGGUCACUGUGCUAAUCAGCAGUGAAUUGACGGUACCUGCAAAGGAAGCACCGGCUAACUCCGUGCCAGCAGCCGCGGUAAUACGGAGGGUGCGAGCGUUAAUCGGAAUUACUGGGCGUAAAGCGAUCGUAGGCGGUAUGUCAAGUCAGGGGUGAAAUCCCCGGGCUCAACGUGGGAACUGCCUGUGAAACUGGCAGACUGGAGUGUGUGAGAGGAUAGUGGAAUUCCAGGUGUAGGAGUGAAAUCCGUAGAUAUCUGGAGGAACAUCAGUGGCGAAGGCGACUAUCUGGCACAUAACUGACGCUGAGGAGCGAAAGCGUGGGUAGCAAACAGGAUUAGAUACCCCAGUAGUC
rnacentral:rRNA from 1 species